rnacentral:lncRNA from 1 species
AGAGGAGCUUAGUAAGAUCAGUUUGUUCAGAUUCUCCUCUGUUUCCUUGUCUUCAAAGAUAAAGAUGCUUCUUUCCUCUGGAUAAAUGGAGGGCACCUCUGGAAUAAGGAUCUUAUAACCUGCUUCAUGGGAGAAGGGUGACGGGAAGUUGCUGGAAUAAAUCCCAAAGGAGCAAGACAUCACUGAGGAGGAUAGGAAGCCAAAAUGGUUUCUGCCAAUAUCUGGGGAAUGAUUCUUUGAGAAGGCUGCACAUUUGCCACUGAGCUCCUCGGAACCCCUGGGAUUUAGAGAGCAGAUGUAACAAGGCGUAGCAUUCUACAACCUGUAAUAAAGGAAAACCCAAGUCUUUUUAAUAUAUUUUAAACAGGAUGUUACUUUCCUAGAUUGAGCAUAUCAUUUACCUUGAGAGGUACACUGUUCCCU